rnacentral:rRNA from 1 species
AUUAGUGGCCAUAGCAAAGGGGAUCGCCUGAUACCAUUCCGAACUCAGUAGUUAAGCCCUUUAGCGCCGAAGAUACCAGAGAUGGGAAAAUAGGGAGCUGCUUUUU